rnacentral:rRNA from 1 species
AACGAACGCUGGCGGCAUGCCUAACACAUGCAAGUCGAACGAGAUCUUCGGGUCUAGUGGCGCACGGGUGCGUAACGCGUGGGAAUCUGCCCUUAGGUUCGGAAUAACAGUUGGAAACGACUGCUAAUACCGGAUGAUGACGAAUGUCCAAAGAUUUAUCGCCAGAGGAUGGGCCCGCGUAGGAUUAGCUAGUUGGUGUGGUAAAGGCGCACCAAGGCGACGAUCCUUAGCUGGUCUGAGAGGAUGAUCAGCCACACUGGGACUGAGACACGGCCCAGACUCCUACGGGAGGCAGCAGUGGGGAAUAUUGGACAAUGGGCGAAAGCCUGAUCCAGCAAUGCCGCGUGAGUGAUGAAGGCCUUAGGGUUGUAAAGCUCUUUUACCCGGGAUGAUAAUGACAGUACCGGGAGAAUAAGCUCCGGCUAACUCCGUGCCAGCCGCCGCCGUAAGAC